GGUCAAGUUAUUAAGGGUGCAGGGCGGAUGCCUUGGCACUAGGAGCCGAUGAAGGACGUGAUAAGCUGCGAUAAGCUUCGGGGAGUUGCACGUAAACUUUGAUCCGAAGAUUUCCGAAUGAGGAAACUCACUUAGAGUAAUGUCUAAGUAUCAUUAAGUGAAUACAUAGCUUAAUGAGGGGAACUCAGGGAACUGAAACAUCUAAGUACCUGAAGGAAGAGAAAGAAAUUCGAUUCCGUAAGUAGCGGCGAGCGAACGCGGAUUAGCCCAAACCAAUAAAGUUUUCUUUAUUGGGGUUGCGGACAUAUCAUAACGAAGAGGUAUCGUAAUUGAAGAGGUUUGGAAAGACCCACCACAGAAGGUAAUAGUCCUGUAUGUUAAACGAGAAGACUUUAGAUAUGAUCCAGAGUACCACGGGACACGUGAAACCCUGUGGGAAGCAGGAGGGACCACCCUCCAAGGCUAAAUACUACCUAGUGACCGAUAGCGUAUAGUACCGUGAGGGAAAGGUGAAAAGAACCCCGGGAGGGGAGUGAAAUAGAACCUGAAACCCUGCACUUACAAGCUGUGGAAGCACAUUUCUUGUGUGACCGCGUACUUUUUGUAGAACGGGCCAACGAGUUACGUUAAGUAGCAAGGUUAAGCACUUAAGGUGCGGAGCCGUAGCGAAAGCGAGUUUUAACUGAGCGUUCAGUUACUUGACGUAGACCCGAAACCGGGCGACCUACCCAUGAGCAGGAUGAAGCGAAAGUAAAAUUUCGUGGAGGUCCGAACCCACGAGCGUUGAAAAGCUCGGGGAUGACUUGUGGGUAGCGGUGAAAUUCCAAUCGAGCCCGGAGAUAGCUGGUUCUCCCCGAAAUAGCUUUAGGGCUAGCCUCAAGGUGAGAGAUACGGAGGUAGAGCACUGAAUGUCCUAGGGGGUAUUGCACCUACCGAAGACUAUCAAACUCCGAAUGCCGUCAUCUUAUACUUGGGAGUCAGACUGUGGGUGAUAAGAUUCAUAGUCGAAAGGGCAACAGCCCAGAUCGUCAGCUAAGGUCCCUAAAUGUAAGUUAAGUGGUAAAGGAUGUGGGAUUGCACAGACAACCAGGAUGUUGGCUUAGAAGCAGCCACUCAUUCAAAGAGUGCGUAAUAGCUCACUGGUCGAGUGAUCCUGCGCCGAAGAUUUCCGGGGCUAAAACUUACUACCGAAGCUACGGCAUCAGUAAUGAUGGGUAGGGGAGCUUCCCAUAC
rnacentral:rRNA from 1 species